rnacentral:rRNA from 1 species
AUUGAACGCUGGCGGCAUGCCUUACACAUGCAAGUCGAACGGUAACAGGUCUUCGGAUGCUGACGAGUGGCGAACGGGUGAGUAAUACAUCGGAACGUGCCCGAUCGUGGGGGAUAACGAAGCGAAAGCUUUGCUAAUACCGCAUAAGGUCUACGGAUGAAAGCAGGGGACCGCAAGGCCUUGCGCGAACGGAGCGGCCGAUGGCAGAUUAGGUAGUUGGAGGGAUAAAAGCUUACCAAGCCGACGAUCUGUAGCUGGUCUGAGAGGACGACCAGCCACACUGGGACUGAGACACGGCCCAGACUCCUACGGGAGGCAGCAGUGGGGAAUUUUGGACAAUGGGCGAAAGCCUGAUCCAGCCAUGCCGCGUGCAGGAUGAAGGCCUUCGGGUUGUAAACUGCUUUUGUACGGAACGAAAAGACUCUUUCUAAUAAAGAGGGUCCAUGACGGUACCGUAAGAAUAAGCACCGGCUAACUACAUGCCAGCCGCCGCCGUAAAAC